rnacentral:rRNA from 1 species
GACGACGGGUAGGCCGCAUAAGAGGAUGACCGGCCCCGCUGGUACUGAAACACGCCCCAGACUCCUACAGGAGGCAGCAGKGGGGAAUAUUGCACAAUGGGCGCAAGCCUGAUGCAGCGACGCCGCGUGAGGGAUGACGGCCUUCGGGUUGUAAACCUCUUUCAGUAGGGAAGAAGCGAAAGUGACGGUACCUGCAGAAGAAGCGCCGGCUAACUACGUGCCAGCAGCCGCGGUAAUACGUAGGGCGCAAGCGUUAUCCGGAAUUAUUGGGCGUAAAGAGCUCGUAGGCGGUUUGUCGCGUCUGCCGUGAAAGUCCGGGGCUCAACUCCGGAUCUGCGGUGGGUACGGGCAGACUAGAGUGAUGUAGGGGAGACUGGAAUUCCUGGUGUAGCGGUGAAAUGCGCAGAUAUCAGGAGGAACACCGAUGGCGAAGGCAGGUCUCUGGGCAUUAACUGACGCUGAGGAGCGAAAGCAUGGGGAGCGAACAGGAUUAGAUACCCUGGUAGUCCAUGCCGUAAACGUUGGGCACUAGGUGUGGGGGACAUUCCACGUUUUCCGCGCCGUAGCUAACGCAUUAAGUGCCCCGCCUGGGGAGUACGGCCGCAAGGCUAAAACUCAAAGGAAUUGACGGGGGCCCGCACAAGCGGCGGAGCAUGCGGAUUAAUUCGAUGCAACGCGAAGAACCUUACCAAGGCUUGACAUGAACCGGAAAGACCUGGAAACAGGUCCCCCACUUGUGGUCGGUUUACAGGUGGUGCAUGGUUGUCGUCAGCUCGUGUCGUGAGAUGUUGGGUUAAGUCCCGCAACGAGCGCAACCCUCGUUCCAUGUUGCCAGCGCGUUAUGGCGGGGACUCAUGGGAGACUGCCGGGGUCAACUCGGAGGAAGGUGGGGACGACGUCAAAUCAUCAUGCCCCUUAUGUCUUGGGCUUCACGCAUGCUACAAUGGCCGGUACAAAGGGUUGCGAUACUGUGAGGUGGAGCUAAUCCCAAAAAGCCGGUCUCAGUUCGGAUUGGGGUCUGCAACUCGACCCCAUGAAGU